rnacentral:rRNA from 1 species
UACGGAGGGUGCAAGCGUUAUCCGGAUUCACUGGGUUUAAAGGGUGCGUAGGUGGGUUGGUAAGUCAGUGGUGAAAUCUCCAGGCUUAACUUGGAAACUGCCAUUGAUACUAUCAAUCUUGAAUACCGUGGAGGUCAGCGGAAUAUGUCAUGUAGUGGUGAAAUGCUUAGAUAUGACAUAGAACACCAAUUGCGAAGGCAGCUGGCUACACGAAUAUUGACACUGAUGCACGAAAGCGUGGGGAUCAAACAGG